GAUCAUCAUGUGAGCUCUGCUGGGCAGCGGCCGCUCUGGCUGCAUGGCUGUUGGAUUUCAAAGCUACACUGAUGGGGGAAGGCUCGGGAAUGGCAGCCAGGAUCUCAGUAGCCAGGCUGGUCCAUUGUAGGGGAUAAGCUGGAGGGACACCCAGCAGAAUCUUGUGCCAGAGAUGAUCAAAUUGAAACUGACCAACCCCUCAACAGGGAAGAAGAGUAGUAAAAACAUAACAUGGGGUGAUCUGAAGGCUAUGGAUGCUGAGGCAUCUAGAAUGAUGCAGUGUGUGGAGGCAGAACCCAGUGCUGCAAGUACCUUCUUGGUCUAUCUGGCCAUUUUAUCAGCUAACUCAAAAGAUUUCUUUGCCUCUGCAGACAGUUCUGAGUCAACAAAAAAGGCAGAAGCAAACCUAAUGACUGCUCUUGUGAUCAGUUUGUCCUUAAACAGAGAAGGGGGAGAUGUAGAUGUGACUGCUGUUCGACCUUAACAUCUGCAUGAGAAAGCGCAUACCAAAGGAUCAUGGCCAGCCAUAAAUACCUAUGUGAGAAGGCUUUAAUUAGCAGCUCGAACACGGGCUGCACGGAAUGCUUGAAAAUGUUUGUGAUAAGAGCAAGAAACAUCCUGCUCUGCUAUUUGUUUGCAUGCUGAUUACUGAUUUUAGUAUCCUGCUUGGCUAUAUAUUCUGAUCCUAACUGUAAACAGUAAAGCAUAUAAAAGUCUCACUCAUGCUUAAUAAAGUCAUUC